UACGAAGGGGGCUAGCGUUGUUCGGAAUUACUGGGCGUAAAGGGUUCGUAGGUGGCCAACUAAGUCAGACGUGAAAUCCCUCGGCUCAACCGGGGAACUGCGUCUGAUACUGGUUGGCUUGAGUGCAGGAGAGGAACGCGGAAUUCCAGGUGUAGCGGUGAAAUGCGUAGAUAUCUGGAGGAACACCGGUGGCGAAGGCGGCGUUCUGGACUGCAACUGACACUGAGGAACGAAAGCCAGGGGAGCAAACGGG
rnacentral:rRNA from 1 species